rnacentral:rRNA from 1 species
UCAUUACCUAGAGUUGUAGGCUUUGCCUACCAUCUCUUACCCAUGUCUUUUGAGUACCUUCGUUUCCUCGGCGGGUCCGCCCGCCGAUUGGACAAACUUAAACCCUUUGUAAUUGAAAUCAGCGUCUGAAAAAACAUAAUAGUUACAACUUUCAACAACGGAUCUCUUGGUUCUGGCAUCGAUGAAGAACGCAGCGAAAUGCGAUAAGUAGUGUGAAUUGCAGAAUUCAGUGAAUCAUCGAAUCUUUGAACGCACAUUGCGCCCCUUGGUAUUCCAUGGGGCAUGCCUGUUCGAGCGUCAUUUGUACCUUCAAGCUCUGCUUGGUGUUGGGUGUUUGUCUCGCCUUUGCGUGUAGACUCGCCUUAAAACAAUUGGCAGCCGGCGUAUUGAUUUCGGAGCGCAGUACAUCUCGCGCUUUGCACUCAUAACGACGACGUCCAAAAAGUACUUUUUACACUCUUGACCUCGGAUCAGGUAGGGA